GACCUUGCGCAGUAGCAAUAUCGUAAUCAAUGAAGUUCCACUGAGAUGCGAUUAUUGCUAGUUGAAAACUAUCCAUAAAAUAUCAAACGCAAACUUUUUCUUACCUUACGGUUUUCAUAGCAAGAAAUCAUCAUUGAGUUGAUAACAAU